rnacentral:rRNA from 1 species
UACGUAGGGUGCGAGCGUUGUCCGGAAUUAUUGGGCGUAAAGGGCUCGUAGGCGGUUUGUCGCGUCGGGAGUGAAAACACUGGGCUUAACUCAGUGCUUGCUUCCGAUACGGGCAGACUAGAGGUAUUCAGGGGAGAACGGAAUUCCUGGUGUAGCGGUGAAAUGACGCAGAUAUCAGGAGGAACACCGGUGGCGAAGGCGGAUCUCUGGGCCUUACCUGACGCUCAGGCGCGAAAGCAUGGGGAGCGAACAGG